rnacentral:tRNA from 1 species
GCCGAGGUGUCGGAACUGGCAGACGAUGGGGACUUAAAAUCCCCUGCCCCUAAAGGGCGUGUGGGUUCAAAUCCCUCCCUCGGCA